UACGAAGGGGGCUAGCGUUGUUCGGAAUUACUGGGCGUAAAGCGCGCGUAGGCGGUGAUCUUUGUCAGAGGUGAAAUCCCGAGGCUCAACUUCGGAAUUGCCUUUGAAACGGGAUCGCUUGAGUCCGAGAGAGGAUGGCGGAAUUCCUAGUGUAGAGGUGAAAUUCGUAGAUAUUCGGAAGAACACCAGUGGCGAAGGCGACUUACUGGACACAUAUUGACGCUGAGGUGCGAAAGCGUGGGGAGCAAACAGG
rnacentral:rRNA from 1 species